UACGGAGGGGGCUAGCGUUGUUCGGAAUUACUGGGCGUAAAGCGUGCGCAGGCGGUUCGGAAAGAGAGGUGUGAAAUCCCAGGGCUUAACCUUGGAACUGCACUUCUAACUACCGGGCUAGAGUACGUCAGAGGGGGGUAGAAUUCCACGUGUAGCAGUGAAAUGCGUAGAGAUGUGGAGGAAUACCGAUGGCGAAGGCAGCCCCCUGGGAUGAUACUGACGCUCAUGCACGAAAGCGUGGGGAGCAAACAGG
rnacentral:rRNA from 1 species